UACGGAGGGUGCAAGCGUUGUCCGGAUUUAUUGGGUUUAAAGGGUGCGUAGGUGGAACUUUAAGUCUGGGUUUUGAAAGCAGGCGGCUUAACCGUCUGAUGUGGCUGGAAAACUGGAGUUCUUGAAUGUGUUGGCGGUAGCCGGAACGGGUCAUGUAGCGGUGAAAUGCAUAGAUAUGACCCAGAACCCCGAUUGCGAAGGCAG
rnacentral:rRNA from 1 species